GGGCGUCGUGGCCGGUGGCGUCGGCGACGUCGUCGCUGAAGUCGUCGGCGUCGGUGAACUCCUUGACGAUCGCGUCGAGGUCCUUCUUGAGCUGCUUC
rnacentral:tRNA from 1 species